UUUAACAGUAAUGUUUAGAAGCAGUUUGUGCUGCUGCAAACCCAUCCAUUCUUUGCGGCUACAGGUGGAGAGAGGGUCACGACCCCUCCUCAACUCCUCCACCCUCGAUUUCCCCCAGUGUCCUGCCUCCAUUCCGCAUCUCCCUGCCUGGAGACUCGCCUACCCGGUACCGAUCAACAUCCGCGUCUUCGCGCACGCGGAUCCACUCCACCGGCUCCGCCACUGAAUCCUCUCAUCCCGCAAGAGGUUCCUGAUUGGAGUGCCAGGGAAAUCAGCAGUAUAGAGUUAUUAAUCGAGUUUAUGGAAGUGGCUAAGCAUGAUUGAAAGGAUGCAAUGUGAGUAAAUUGCUGGUGGCAUUCCUGACUCCUUUUGAAAGGGUUGCUGCCACUUCACCCCACUGAGCAUUCCUCUGGUACAUGAUUCAAAGGACACAGGAGAUCUUGGACAGAUUGCUGGCAGCAGCUCUGAGUCUCCUCAGCCAAAGCAGAAGUGUGUUAUUCCUCAUUGAGGCAGGUGAUACCGUAUCAUGGUUUGUGAGAUUCACUCCCGGAGACAGAAACCCACGCCCCCACUUUCCGGCCUGCAGAGAUUCUUGAUGAAGAUCUAAUGCUGUCUGCCCGUCAGGAUCCCUGCAGUGUCACGGAGAUGACAGGUCCCUAGCAGGGGAAGCAAGGUGCUGCCGAAGCAAAGACACGUUUCAGGGAAGGGAUUUCCCCCGGCUGCUCUCCUCGCACGCCGUGGCCGGCUGCAGGGCAAGCGCUGCCUGAGCUCCUGCCCCGGGGGCUCGCUGUGCUCAGCGGCAAUUGGGCAGGGAUUUCCCAAAGGGAGGCUACGGGCAGAGCUGUGGCUCGGUGUUUGUGUGGAGCGGGCUGCUGUGACUCUCGUUACCUGUGGGUUUUCCAACACCCCAGCAAGAGCUGGCUCUGCUCCGGGCUGGGUGCUGCGGGAGGGAGCCGGGAGAUGCGGCAGCUCCGCUUCCCAGCACGGCUGGCUCCUGGGGCUCCACAUCCACCGGAGCAGCAGCCGGGAGAGCCCAGGUGAACACGGCAGGCUCUGGGAAAGGCUGGGCUGAUAUCCACACCUCAGCUCAGUGAGAAACUGACCCGGGUUAAUUAAUCUCAGGUGUAAAUGCUUAGAGCUGUGGCUGCACUGGGCCUUCUUGCCAGCAUCUGGAACUUGCCUAUAGACAUCUUUCAAAUUAAACAAUAGGCAUUUGCAUUUGUAAGAAAACAGUUGUUAAAUUUGCACAGAUAAUCACUUUGUUCCAUCCCAAGGAUUUCCAAUCAAUAUUGCAUUCCAGAAGAGAAAUAAUGUAAUAAGCCAUUAUAGAAUAAUGUUGUGUUCAUUUGUUGAUGCUCACAACUGACAGCAAAUCUUUAUUUUAAUUGAUUCUUAGAUUAGUUAAAUAAAAGCCAUUGUCAUUUUUUUAUUCUGUUCUUUUUAUAAAAAUAGUUUUAUUGUGCUCCUAAUACAAAUAAAAUUGGCAGGAUUGACCAGAAAUGGAUGUAACUUUUUUUCUCCACACUGCAGAUGCAGACCUGCUUUUAUUUUUGGAAGCGAUUUACAAAAAACAGUAUGAGGUUUUGUAAAAUGCUCUGAAAACAAGUUGUUUUGGAAGUUCCCCUCUGCAUGGUUCUGAUUAAAGAUUGCUGUCACAUAAGAGAGCCAAAGAGACAAGAUGUGGGUGCAUGAAUGUGAAUAGUCUGAGGAACAAAACAGGCCCAGGAAGGAUGCUGGUUUACCUUCAGUCACUCAAAAACAACCAACCAUGAAUUUGGUUUGUAAGGCUGAGGUAGUCUGAACUAAACCAAGUCUUUUUCAAUGCACCUGUUUUGGCAGGUGCAGUUUUUCUUGUUUUUUGUUUUUCCAAGUGUAUUUUCUUAAUUUGGGACAUUCUGGACAUGGUCUUUUUCCAUAGGCAGUUUUUGGCAUUGCAGAAAGAGGAUGCAAGGUGCUCUUGUUGGCAUCUAACAGUUGGUUCUUCACCACUCCCCAGUGUCCCUGAGUGACCUGAGUGGAGAACUGAGGCAGAAGUUGUUGUCUCUCCCUUUCUGAAUGAACAUUACAAGAAGUGAACACUUGCUUAAAGCCCAGGCCUACUUCAUCCUUCAGUCAGGAAAUUUAGUCAUGGCAGUGCUGAGUGAAAUGAUGUCUUUGGAACUGCCAGAAGAGCACAGAAUUUGCAUCUCUAGGCUAUCUUGUGGCUCACAGCUAUACAAAAGUUCUGACAUGGUGAGAGCACAAGCUUAAAUCAGCCCACACAUUGUGUACAGGUACAUUCUAGGUGCAUCCUGUGUAUUGUUGUAGUAAUUGAAUACACCUUAGUUUAUCUUCUAUUUGUGACUACAUGGUCAUUAUUACUCCUGAAAACUGGAAUAAUACCACUAUUUGAUCCCCCAAGACUGUUACCAUGCCAGAAAAUUCCUUGCAAAUACACAUUUUAACAAAUCUCAUUCUUAGUCAAUGGCAAAAUGGCAGCUACAGUUUUAUCCAAAAUUAAAGUGCUUAAUUCUUCCCUCCUUUUUGGAAGACCUUAUGCAUACUUGGAGGCUGUCAGUUUCCUGGGCAAUGUGUAAAUGUUCCAUACUGAUGAGAAAAGUUCAUGCUUGUUUUAUGUCACUUUUUUCCCCUACGUGUUGUUUAAUAUUAAUGAUGUAAGUUGCUGUGUCAAAAUAUUAAAUAAUUGUAACCUGUACAGGAAAGGAGUUUUAUUUUAACCUUUGAAAACUGUAUUUACAUGUUUUAGUAUAUAUGAAUAAUGCAUAAAGUUAGGCACUAAGGUUAUUUUCAAAGUCAGACAUUUCAGGAUCAAGCUGUAGAAAACAAUAAAAGAGAGGAGUGGUUUCUUUCCUCUUGCUCUCCCUCUUUCUUUAAUUCCCCAGGAUUCAGGCAUUAGCAUUGAAGUCAAAUGCCAUUAGGAUUUCUCACUAAACUUCAAAGCUUAAUUUAGUCUCUGCUGGAAUAAAGAGAGGCAUAUAAACAGGCACAGUGGAAUCCAUUUAAAUGAGUUACUGUGAAAAAAAGGAUGUUUCUAAGAAACAAAUGAUCUGUACAUUCUUUUAACAGAAAUCCUCCACUAGAGCAGUGGCUCAGGUGCAGCUGUGCCCCAUCCCCCGGGGAGGUGGGUGCUGUCCCAGCUCUGCAGGGUGGGGUCCUGGCCCUGUGCACCCCAAGGCAGUGCAGACGCUCCAGGGGACUCCAGACAGGGACAAACCUCCUGAUCCCUGUCUGGGGGAUGUGGGACCAACUGCCCAUGCAAUCACACAUGCAUGUGUUUUCCAGAACAUCAUUGUAAUAGGGUAAGUCAGCAUGGAAGAUUUGCUUUCUUUUCCAACAUAUUUGAUGUUUCAUGAAGGAUGCAGUUGUACUGCAGACCACUCCUUUAUAACCUCUCUCGUCAAAGAAAUGUUCUUGUCAUUAGCAAGGUGAUGCCUCUAAAUCACUUCCCUCUCUGUGUUUUUCAUUCAUUGUGACUUGAAUUUUCUCCUAUGAAGUGAGCUGUAUAAUUUUGGUAGGUUGGUAGUAAGUACCUUAUUUCAGAAGCAUUAUAGGUUAAUGCAGCUUCUGACAUAGCUUGAAAUCCAAAGGCUAUGACUGUCUGUUUUGCCGGAGGCAGAAGUGCUCAUAAUUCACUCACUGUGUGUCUGUAGCCAGCUCCAGAUAAUGCAGUCUGCUUCCAACACACCCCACUGGUGCAGAUUGGAGCUGGAAAGGUCUCUCCAGUGUGGUUCAUUGUAAGAGACGCUUCGGGGUGGACGGUCUGAGACACGGCAGAGACCUCCAUAGUCGAGUUAGGUGUUAGUAGUUUAUUUCAGGGUGUGGGAGAGAGAGAGAGCCUGCUAUGAGCCAGCAGAUAGAGCUCAAAGCAGGCUUGGAGAGA